rnacentral:lncRNA from 1 species
UAGAAUAAUUAGGUGGUGACUCUUCAACUUUAAUCAAAUAUGAAAUUGCCUAUAUGUUGUACCUAAUUUGACCCAUGUUAAAAUAAGGUGUAACAAAGGUCAAAGGAUAUAGCUUCAGUGAAAGUACAGUGGAGAGGUCGGCCUAUGGGGAGCUACCUGGGAGACCGAGCGGGAGAUGCAGAGCACAUAUCCUCACCUGUUUGAGGCUUUAGGUAUGUUUCUUGACCCGUUCGAGCACGAACGUUUGUUUAAGUUGGGGACUAUGUGAUGACCCGGCCAGUUGUUUGAGUUAUUGCUCCAUUUCUCCCAUUUAUAUUUCUUUAUACUUUGUUAUCCAUAUUUUGUGGUAUUGGGUUGGUCGGAUCGAGUCCGGAAUGAUUUUGGUAAGGUUUGAGACACUUAGUCUCUUUUAAGAAGGUUUAAGUUGGAAAAGUUCAACCGGAAUUUGACCUAUGUAUUUGAGGGCUCGGAUAUGACUUAGGAUGGUUCGGUUAGCUCCGGGAGGUGAUUUAUGACUUAGUAGUGUAAUCGGAAUGGGUUUAGGAGGUCCGGAGUAGAAUUAGGCGUGAAUUGGCGAAGUUGAUAUUUUGGCGAUUUCCUAUUGAUAGGUGAGAUUUUCUUAGAAGGGUCAGAAUAAAAUUCCGAGAGUUAAAGUAGCUUGCUUGUGUCAUUUGGGAUGUGAGUGCAAAAUUUUAGCUCAUUCAGAUGUGGUUUGGUUGUGUUUUUUUAUCAAAAGUGUGUUUCGGAAGAUUUUAGAAACUUAGGCUUGAAUCCGAUGUAUUUUGGGUGAUUUGAUGUUGUUUGAGGUGUUUUAUGAUUGGAACAAGUUUGAAUAAGGUUUUGAGAUGUGUUGGUACUUUUGGUUGAGGUCCUGGGGGCCUCGGGUGAGGUUCGGAUGGUCAAUCGGACAAUUUCGUGCCUUAAAAGAUAGCAGAAAGCUGCAGGUUCAGUGUUGCAUGAAAUUGCUCUUCGCGAUCACAUAGAAGGAAUCAAGGUAGGGCAUCCAGUUCGCAUUCGCGAUUGCAGGCACGCUAUCCCAUAGCAUGGGAGAAUUGUUCAUCGCGAACGCGUGAGCGAAGUUGCAUUCGCGUAGGAUCAAUUGGACAUGGGUCUUGGCAUGUCGUUUGUGCAUUGCGCGAUGCGGGGUUAUGUCCGUGAUCGCGUAAGGUUUUUCAUCUGGUCAUCGCAUUUUCAUGUUCUUUGUCGCAUUCGCAUAGUAUAUUUUUGGGGAGUUUAAACUUUGUUCUUCGGAAUCGCGAGGGAAGUGUCGCGAUCGCGAUGAAGGAGAUGAGGCAUGUGCAGAAUGUUUCUAAAGUCAUCUUAUUUGCAAAUGUAGGUCUAUUUUCACCCAUAGCUGCUCAUUUUGAGAGAUGUUUGAAGUAGAUUGAAGAGGGAUUCAAGGGGAAAUGAUUUGAGGUAAUAAGUUCGGACCUAAAACUUGAUUCUAUUGUGAAAUCUACCUAGAAAAUCAUGGAAAUUUAAGCUAAAAAUGGAAGAACCAGGGCUUGGAAUUUUGGACUUUUGAUUAGGGAUUGGAGGACCAUUUAGCGUCAGAUUUGAGAACUUUUGAUAUGUAUGAACUCGUGGGGAGAUAAGGAACCCAUUGAUGUAAAAAAUUUUGAAUUUUGAGACCGAGACUCGGAUUUUGCUAAUUUCGGGAUUUUUGGUAUUUUUUUAUUGUUUUCACUUGGGCUUUGUUCCCUUAGCAAAUUGUGACGUAUUCGUUCUGAUUUUGGAUAGACUCAAUGCGCGUGGAGGCCGAUUCGAGGGACAAAGGCAUUGCGAGCUAUAGAUUUAGCCGGUUAGAGGUGAGUAAUGAUUGUAAAUGAUGCUCUGAGGGUUGGAAACCCCGAAUUUGCACAUCGUAGAGCUAUAUUGAGGCGAGACAUGUGCUUGAUGAUGAGCGUGGGGUCGUAUAAUAUUGAGGAUUGUGACUUGGUCCGUACUAAUUGAUGUUUUUGCCACAUAUUUGACUGAAACUUAUUUUCUAUCAUCAUGAUUUGCGAUCAAUGCCAAUUAUAUGAACCUUUCGGGGAUUUUCAUUACUAUUUCCUUACUGUUUUGACUUAUUACUUGAACUCAGUCUUGAUAAUUUCCAUUGUUUUAUUAUUCAGCCAUUCUUUCUCAGUUUUUAAGACUUUAAUGAUAUUUUAAAUGAUGUUUGGGCUGAAAAUACUAUUUUACUAUUAAUCGAGGGGGUUGUGAUAAUUUUUGGACAGAGUAAUAUCGACUGUGAGGAACAUUGAUACCAAUUUGAGGACGAGGGCAUGAGAUACAUAUAUGUCACGAGGUGGUUUGAUUGAUACGAGGCCUAUAGCCUAGAUUUGAUUCCACGAGAUGGAUUGUUAUUGUGUUUGGGCCGUAAAGGGCCUCUCCCAAAGUCUGUACACCGCCAGUGAGCGCGGGUACCCAGUUGUGAUAUGAGAUUGAGCCCGAGGGGCUGGUACUCUACUAAAAUAUAGAUCGAGGGGUGGAUUUGUGGAUACUGAGCCGGAGUACUCACAUUACUCCUUGCAUCGUAUGUGCAGAUUUACACGUCGAUGUGUCGGGUUGGAUAUUCCAUACCUUAUUAUACAUUUUUCACUAUUUAGUAUCAUUUAAUCAUUCUUAUAUUGCUUUCAUGUUAAUUAACUGCUUAAAAUGAGAAUUUGGUUCAAUUGGCUGGCCUUUUCCUCACGAGAGGCUUUAUCACGACCGAGUUCGGGGUUAGUGUCGUAACAAAUAGAAAGGCAAUAGCAAAUCCAUAAAUGUUUCUUUAAGUCUUCUCUGGUGGAGGCCAGUGCACAAGUCCUAUACUUGUAGGAGCGAUUCAUGUGCACUUUGCUUUUCCUUUUGGCCUAUCUACUUUAGCUUUGUAAUCACACUUGGAAGGCAUGAAUGAAGAAAAUCACUAAUUUAUUCUAGCUCUUCCUUUGGUACUCGCCGUUUUUAGCUUUGUUCCUAGGCUUCUUAGUACAAUGAGUAGAGAUGGUAAAAAAUUAUCGGGCACAUGAUGUUUACAUCAAAUUAUACUAAUUUAUCAUGAUCAAAUUAUAUUGAUUUAUCAAGAUUAAAUUAUAAAUUAAAGUAAGAAUAUAAAUUAAUUAAUUAUGUUUUCCUAGUAAUCAUAUUUGUAAAGACACGUGUUAUGUACAUAUCAAAUUGGCAUAAACACCAAGUAAGGAUGAGUGUUUACCGAGUAUAAAUUAAGGGGAUUUUUUAUUCAUGUACACUAUAUGAAACUUUUUUACAAAAAUAUCCCUAUUUUCAAUAUUACCUGACCUGGACACAUUAUUCCUUCAGAAUUUAUAUAAAUCGUUUAAACAGAAAUCCUUUUUGUUGUAUCAUUCCUUUUUUAGCGAGGAUUUGAGAUAGUAAAGGAUUCUACCGAGAUUUUUAGAAACGCACUUGUAACGACCUGACCCGUCGUCACGUGAAUUACUACCCUGAUUUUCCCGUUUAAUGCUUUUAUAUGUUUCAUUAUGUGUUUGGAGAAUUUGAAGUAAUUUCGAUAAAGUUUGGUUAGAAAUGAGAUAAUUAGUCUCUUUAUUAGAAUGUUAGUUUGGAGAAGUCAACCGAAUGUUGAAUGAAGAGUUAGAGGGCUCGGAAUGGAUUUUCGAUGAUUCAAGUAGUUUUGAAUGAUGAUUUAUGACUUAGGAACGCAAUCGAAAUUGAAUUUGGAGGUCCGGUGUAGAAUUAGGCCUGAAUUGGCUGAGUUUGAAUUUUGGCGAAUUCCAGCUGAUAGGUGAGAUUUUGAUCCGAGGGUCGGAAUGAAAUUCUGAUAGUUGCAGUAGCUCCGUUAGGUGAUUUUGGAUAUGCACGCAAAUUUUCAGGUCAUUUAGAGGUGUUUAAGUCGAGAUUUUGAUCAAAUGCAAGUUUUGGAAGUUUUAGUUUGACUUAGGCUUGAAUCCGCGUCAAUUUGAUGAUUUUGAUAUUUAUGAUAGCAUUUUUAUGUUGCGAGCAAGUUUAAAUGAGGUAGUGGGAAACAUCUGUACGUUUGGUUGAGGUCCCGAGGGCCUCAUGGCGAUGUAGGAUGGUUAAACGGGGAAUUUACGUGUUGUUGCAGGUUUGGCACCUGGCUUGUGGUAUUUCCGCAUCUGCGGAAAAGAGCUACAGAAGCGGUUCCGCAGAUGCGGAUUAGCGAACGCAGAAGCGGUCCACGAGGGAUCGGAGGGUUUCUGUAAAAGCGGACAAGGGACCGUUUUAGCGAGUCCGCAAAAGCGGAACCCAGGCCGUAGAAGCGAAAAAGGAAGGUCCGUAGAAGCGGAAUCUUGGGUCGCAAAAGCGGAAUCCCAGGGACUUAUGGAAAACCGCAAAAGCGGCCAAAAGGACGCAGAAGCGGUCCCGCAAAAGCGGUUACGUGAUCGCAGAAGCAAAAAUGUUGGAGGGUUUAAAGAAACAGUAUUUGCGAAUUUCAGAAGUUAAGAAAAUAUUUUAGACUUCGGAAGAGGCAAGUUUGGGCGAGUUUGGGGGAUUUUUAGGAGAAAAUGAAGAAGCAUCAUCAUGUAGCCCAGGAAUAUUAUAUUUUGGUGUAAAAACGUUGAAUAAUCAUAGAACUUCAAGGAUUUACGGGUUAAAAUGGAGGUUAGGGAAUGAAACCCAAGAGAGUUUAAAUGCGAGUUUUGGAGGGGCAAACGAACUCUGUUUUUGACAAAAUUUAUAUGUACGGUCUCGUGGUGAGACGAGGAAUACAUUGAUGCAACUUUCGUAAUUUUUCAACUAGUGGGCUCGGGGCUCAGGUUUUACCAACUUCGUAAUUUUUAGCGUUUCUCGAGUAAUUUCAAUUGGGUUAUGUUUAUUCAACUUAUAAUGACGUAUUCGUUGUAAUUUUGACUAGAUUCGAUAUGCGUAGAGGUAGAUUCAAGAGGAAAAGGGAAGAUCAGUGUACGAUCGGUUAGAGGUGAGUAGUUUGUAUAGAUGAUGGCCUGAGGGUUUGAAACACUGGUUUAUCACAUUGUAACGCUGUGUUAGGGCGUGACUCGCACCCUAUGGCAGGUGCGGGAUUGUAUAUGAUUAGGGAUUGUGACUUGGUUCAUCUCGAGAGCUAAAUAAAAUUAUCGGCAGCUGAUACACACCCUGUAGUGAAUAUAUCUGGUCUUAUUGCCAUGUUUGGGGCCUUAUGCCAAUCUGUAGCAUCCGUCUGGGAUGAAUAUCUUUGUGAUAACAUGAUUUGCAUAAUAAAUGAUUUCAGUCAUAUGCUUAAUCACCAUUAAUAAAUGGUAAGUCACCCUUUUCCUGAAAUUAAAUAACUAAAUUGUAUUCAUCUUAAUAAUUGGAAACUGGGAAACUAGACUGAAUCUGUUAUGUGACUUACAUGCAUACUGUGGACUAAGUAUCGGUUGGGCUAGACGUUGCAGCAGUGAUAUGACGAUAUUGCGCUUGGGCUAAAGGAGCCCAUCCGGAGUCUGUACACCCCCCAGUCAGCGUCGUCGACGUUAAGUGGAUCGGGUUGUACACCGCAGCGAUUUCAUGUGCAUUGCAUUACAUUUCUUGCAUUACACUUGACUGUUAUAUUUUCUAUUGCUUUACUAUUAGUUCGUAGUUAAGGUGUCGGACUGUUAGUUUUAGCUUUUUUUUGUGGCAUUUCAUGGAUUUCUUAUCUUCAGACAUUUUAUAUGCUUAUUACUCACUGAGUCGGUAGUACUCACCCCUACUCCCUGCACCUUAUGUGCAGAUUCAGGUACAAUAGAGGCUUAGCUGAGCACUCGUUGUCUCCAGACAUUUUCACAAUCGUUGAG